UCCUCCAAGGCUAAAUACUCCUGACUGACCGAUAGUGAACCAGUACCGUGAGGGAAAGGCGAAAAGAACCCCGGCGAGGGGAGUGAAAAAGAACCUGAAACCGUGUACGUACAAGCAGUAGGAGCCCACUAGUUGGGUGACUGCGUACCUUUUGUAUAAUGGGUCAGCGACUUAUAUUCUGUAGCAAGGUUAACCGAAUAGGGGAGCCGCAGGGAAACCGAGUCUUAACUGGGCGUUAAGUUGCAGGGUAUAGACCCGAAA
rnacentral:rRNA from 1 species